rnacentral:rRNA from 1 species
AUGAUAGAUCUAGCAGCUGCAGCAGGAGCAGCCGCAGCUGGUGCCGCACUUGCACUGGGAGCAGCCGCAGCUGGUGCCGCACUUGCACUGGGUGCAGCCGCAGCCGCCGUUCUCCGCCGCCAUCUCCAUGCCGCUGGAGCUCCUGCACGUACCCCAUCCAUACCAAGAUCAACAUACAGUCAUAUUCUCUCUAUUACGAUCGAGUGCAUGAUGAUGUAUGAGCUGAGGAGAAGAGAAGGGACGUACGCCUUGUGGGUGGCGGUGGCGGAGACGAGGAGGGUGGCGCCGGCGGCCUCGGCCUCCGGGUACAUGUUGCAGCCGCCGCAGCCGUUGCCGCACUUGCAGGCGCUGCCGCAGCCGCAGUUUCCUCCGCAGCAAGACAUCGUCGAGGUUGCUUGGGAUUGGAUGGAAGCUUUGAUUGGUGUUGGCUAG